UACGGAGGGGGCUAGCGUUGUUCGGAAUUACUGGGCGUAAAGCGCACGUAGGCGGAUUGUUAAGUCGGGGGUGAAAUCCUGGAGCUCAACUCCAGAACUGCCUUCGAAACUGGCGAUCUUGAGUUCGGGAGAGGUGAGUGGAACUGCGAGUGUAGAGGUGAAAUUCGUAGGUAUUCGCAAGAACACCAGUGGCGAAGGCGGCUCACUGGCCCGAUACUGACGCUGAGGUGCGAAAGCGUGGGGAGCAAACAGG
rnacentral:rRNA from 1 species